AACGCACCUUGCGCUCCUUGGUAUUCCUUGGAGCAUGCCUGUUUGAGUAUCAUGAAAUUAUCAAAACAUACCUUUUGUUCAUUCAACUGGUUUCUGUUUUGGACUUGGAGGCCUUGCGGAUUCACCUCUGCUCCUCUUAAAAAUAUUAGCUGGAUCUCAGUGAGCUCGGUUCCACUCGGCGUGAUAAGUAUCACUCGCUGAGGACACCCGUAAAAAAGGUGGCCGGGAUUCGCAGAUGAACCGCUUCCAAUGGUCCAUUGGAUUGGACAAACAUACUUUAUGAUCUGAUCUCAAAUCAGGUAGGACUACCCGCUGAACUUAA
rnacentral:misc_RNA from 1 species